rnacentral:rRNA from 1 species
UACGAGGGGAGCAAGCGUUGUUCGGAUUUACUGGGCGUAAAGGGCGCGUAGGCGGCGUGACAAGUCACUUGUGAAAUCUCCGGGCUUAACUCGGAACGGUCAAGUGAUACUGUCGUGCUAGAGUACAGAAGGGGCAACUGGAAUUCUCGGUGUAGCGGUGAAAUGCGUAGAUAUACGGAGGAACACCUGCGGCGAAGGCGGGUUGCUGGGCCAACACUGACGCUGAGGCGCGAAAGCUAGGGUAGCAAACGGG